UACACUCCUACGGGAGGCAGCAGUGGGGAAUUUUGGACAAUGGGCGAAAGCCUGAUCCAGCAAUGCCGCGUGAGUGAAGAAGGCCUUCGGGUUGUAAAGCUCUUUUGUCAGGGAAGAAACGGUGAAAGCUAAUAUCUUUUGCUAAUGACGGUACCUGAAGAAUAAGCACCGGCUAACUACGUGCCAGCAGCCGCGGUAAUACGUAGGGUGCAAGCGUUAAUCGGAAUUACUGGGCGUAAAGCGUGCGCAGGCGGUUUUGUAAGUCUGAUGUGAAAUCCCCGGGCUCAACCUGGGAAUUGCAUUGGAGACUGCAAGGCUAGAAUCUGGCAGAGGGGGGUAGAAUUCCACGUGUAGCAGUGAAAUGCGUAGAUAUGUGGAGGAACACCGAUGGCGAAGGCAGCCCCCUGGGUCAAGAUUGACGCUCAUGCACGAAAGCGUGGGGAGCAAACAGGAUUAGAAACCCCAGUAGUCCCAUGAU
rnacentral:rRNA from 1 species